AGGGUAUUCAUGUCAACACCUUGAAAACUAAGCUUGUAGAGUGUGGUAAACCCGGGCUUUCUGGAGCUACGAGCGUCGCAAAAAAUGCAGCAGUGGACAGAUUAACUGACACAUCCAGAUAUGGAGGAACUCACAAACAAAGAUUUGAUACAACUGGAAAGGGGAAAGGAAAGGAAGGACGAGUUGACCCCAAGUCUGACGGCUACGUGAACGGGUUCAAGGGGAAAACGGUUCCCAAGGAGCGAUGAAUAGAAUGGAUGCCAGAAAAUAAAUUUUAGUGUUUAUAUUGUUAUUUUAACGCAUAUAUUUCCCGCCUGAAAAUUUAAUUAAUAUCAUUGUAUGCCAAUAUGUGGUGUGCCAUAUAGUUUAAACUCUCUCGAUUUCUUGCUUCUUUAAAAAUUAUCAUCAAAAAAUGGAGAUUUCCAGCCGAUAAUAUGGCAUAUCUUUCUUCACAAUAUUCAUCUUUAAUUAAAAUUUAAAACUUAAAAAUUUCUAUUUGUAAAAUAUUUUUUUCUUUCUCAGUGUUUGUGUUGCAAUAUAUUUCUUUAAAAUGGGACCUAAGGAACGACUACUAAAUGAAAAGCUAUUAUUAUUUUUCUUAAACAGAAAAAUGACUUCUAAAUCAGGUUAGCCGUUGCAGAAAAAAAGAGAUGCAUUUUUUAAAACUUUUUUCAUCCAAGCAUAAAGAUCUCAUGUGUGUCUUAUGCAAAUCUCAUAAUAUUACAUUUUAAAUAAGGUUUGGUUUUUAUUAAAUUCAAAUAACAACAAUAAACAUUAAUUGUUGUCACUAAAUUCCCAUGUUUAUUAUACAGACUCUGUUUUAUGUUAAUUGCAUCUAAGAUUGCGCACAAUUUUGUUUAAGUAAUUAAUUGUAUGUAUUGUAUAAAAAAAAUAUAUAAUAUAUUAUAUAAAUACG